rnacentral:misc_RNA from 1 species
UCCGGCUUAACACCAGCAGUCCCCCUAGAGUGCCCAACUUAAUGAUGGCAACUAAGGGCGAGGGUUGCGCUCGUUGCGGGACUUAACCCAACACCUCACGGCACGAGCUGACGACAGCCAUACAGCACCUGAACCGGCAGUCCCCGAAGGGAAAACCUCAUUUCUGAAACGGUCCACCGUUGUCUAGCCCAAGUAAGGUUCUUCGCGUUGCGUCGAAUUGAACCACAUGCUCCACCACUUGUGCGGGCCCCCGUCAAUUCCUUUGAGUUUUAAUCUUGCGACCGUACUCCCCAGGCGGGGCACUUAAUGCGUUAGCUGCGGCACCCAGGGGAUCAAUACCCCGGACACCUAGUGCCCAUCGUUUACAGCGUGGACUAC